rnacentral:rRNA from 1 species
AACGAACGCUGGCGGCAGGCUUGACACAUGCAAGUCGAGCGCCCCGCAAGGGGAGCGGCAGACGGGUGAGUAACGCGUGGGAAUCUACCCAUCUCUACGGAAUAACGCAUGGAAACGUGUGCUAAUACCGUAUACGUCCUUCGGGAGAAAGAUUUAUCGGAGAUGGAUGAGCCCGCGUUGGAUUAGCUAGUUGGUGGGGUAAAGGCCUACCAAGGCGACGAUCCAUAGCUGGUCUGAGAGGAUGAUCAGCCACACUGGGACUGAGACACGGCUCAGACUCCUACGGGAGGCAGCAGUGGGGAAUAUUGGACAAUGGGCGCAAGCCUGAUCCAGCCAUGCCGCGUGAGUGAUGAAGGCCCUAGGGUUGUAAAGCUCUUUCACCGGUGAAGAUAAUGACGGUAACCGGAGAAGAAGCCCCGGCUAACUUCGUGCCAGCCGCCGCGGUAACAC